rnacentral:lncRNA from 1 species
GGCUAAAAGCAUAAUAUGUGAUAACUCUUAAUGAUUAAAUGUUGUUAGAAAUUUUAAGAGUUAUCUUAUGUAUGGGGUGAGAAUUUUGUAUAUUUGGUUUUUGUGUGAGAAUGAGAUUGUCCUUCUCAAUUUCAAUGUUGUUGAUGUAUUUAUAGCGGUGUUGAACUUGAAUCCUAGAUCCCUUGAAAAUAACAACCAUCAUUGAGAAAAUACAUGAGUGGAUGGUUAAUCCAAUAUUAUUUCGAAGAAUGUGGUUAAAU